CUCAUGCACAAAGAUUAAUACAAUUGUCUCACUAACAUGCUUGAUCACCAGGAAGAGAUGAAUUCACACUCAGCACAAUGAAAGAGAUACGUAACACCAAAGAGACAGGAUUGUGCAGUAUGCAGCAGGCGUGGCUCAGGUUGUUUAAAUACCAUUCUCGGGCUCUCCAGUCAUCCACACACCUGCUGCAGCUCUAUCAGGUUUCUUAACAGCAAUGACUGUAGAAAAGAUGGAUGACCUGGCUGCACUUCCUCUCAUUGUACAAAAAUGAAGUCAAAAUUUCACACUUGUGGGAACUGCCAUGUUGCACUUUUGGAGCCAGAGCUUGCGCAAUAGUGACUUGAGGUGAGGGUCUGUGUCAAGCUCCCACCAACACACCCACUGGAUGUGACAACGAACAUGCCCCAUUACACUUUUUACGUAGCCAGGCUGCUUCAGUGUACCUGCUGAUGGCUUUACUGCGACUGACGACUUGUUAAAUUAAGAUACAUCCACCUUGGGGGGAAACUAGUGAGGGAGACCACGAGGACUAAGCUGGGUUUCCUGGGUCCAGAGGUUUGGAGAAACUUCUUCCCUUUCUUUCAUCACAGCUGUCCUGUGCCAGAUGUUCUGUUGACUCACUA